rnacentral:rRNA from 1 species
GACGAACGCUGGCGGCGUGCUUAACACAUGCAAGUCGAACGGAAAGGCCCUGCUUUUGUGGGGUGCUCGAGUGGCGAACGGGUGAGUAACACGUGAGUAACCUGCCCCUGACUUUGGGAUAACUUCAGGAAACUGGGGCUAAUACCGGAUAGGAGCUCCUGCUGCAUGGUGGGGGUUGGAAAGUUUCGGCGGUUGGGGAUGGACUCGCGGCUUAUCAGCUUGUUGGUGGGGUAGUGGCUUACCAAGGCUUUGACGGGUAGCCGGCCUGAGAGGGUGACCGGCCACAUUGGGCCUGAGAUACGGCCCAGACUCCUACGGGAGGCAGCAGUGGGGAAUAUUGCACAAUGGGCGGAAGCCUGAUGCAGCAACGCCGCGUGCGGGAUGACGGCCUUCGGGUUGUAAACCGCUUUCGCCUGUGACGAAGCGUGAGUGACGGUAAUGGGUAAAGAAGCACCGGCUAACUACGUG